CCGUGACUGGCAGCUGCACCUGCCCCCCUGGGAGGACUGGCGUCCACUGUGAGCACGGCUGCCCUCAGAACCGGUUUGGAGUGAGCUGUGAGCGCGUGUGCUCCUGCAGGAACGGGGGCCUGUGCCAUGCGGCCAAUGGCAGCUGCUCCUGCGGCCUGGGCUGGACGGGGCCGCACUGUGAGCUGGCCUGCCCUCCUGGUGACUAUGGUGCUUCCUGCCGUCUGGAGUGCUCUUGCCAAAACAAUGGCACUUGUGAGCCCACCA
rnacentral:lncRNA from 1 species